UUUCAUAUUAUUAUUUUAUUAUUUACUUUAAGCAGGCAGAGAGUGAGUUCAGCAAACAUCUCCUCUCCGUGAACACCGAGCCAUUCCAGGCGCUGGUGGCGGGGAAGCGACCAGGAGAAAGGUCCCCGGUGCCACUUCCGGGCCACGGGCUUGUUGCUUGUGAAUCCGUUUCAUUCAUCGGGUCAGCAGCUGCCAGAGCCUCUGCUCUGCGGUGUCCCAGGGACCCAGGUGCAGAGGGUGGGGGGCUGGGCCCUCCUGCACCCGGGAGCCUUGGUGGCCUUGGGGGUUGGGGGUCAGGGGUGGGUCUGCUGCUGAAGCCCUGGUUCCCGAGACCCACCCCCCACCCCGGGGGGCACAGGGUCACAGCUGCUGGAGGCACCUGUGGGCUACGGAGCCUCGGGGACCCCUUGAUAGAUGCUGGGCACCCCCAGGCUCUGUGGGGUAGCGUGGAGGUGGGCUGCGGUUCCUGCCCCAUUAAGAUGCCUGAAGUCCACCAACCACUUGUCCGCUCAUAGUGUGUGUGUGAGUGAGUGUGCUCAGGGCUUCAGGGAGUGUCCUUAGCUUGAAGGGGGGCCCUUGAGCCCUGGCUUUGCCUUCCCCGCUCCCAGGCCCAAGAGUUUAGGAACUCAGAGAUGCCCAGCAGGACCCGCCCGGCUUGACAUCUCGGGGAGGACCCCUGGCCAGUUUGCGGCCCAGGUCCCCUGGUCACCUGGCCACGGGUGUCCAGGGAAGCCGAAGGUCUGACGACCCAAAGGCCACAGGCCCUGACUGUCCACCCUCAGAACCACGUUCCCUGCCCGCUGACAUAACGUUCUGGGGCCCCGUGGGCAGACGGAGGCACACCCAGCCUCAUUCCCUUCUCCACCUGUGGCUCUGCCUCUGGUAUCUCGGAAGUCCUGGCCAGAGUCCCGCCUCCCUGCCCUGUGACCCUCACUGCAUGUCACCCAAGCCUGGGACCUAUCUUGGCAUCCUCUGGAUUCAGUCGCGGAGCCCACUGAACAGCCUCCUGUGCAGCGGCCGCUUCCACUCGUGCCUGUGCCGGGAGAGGCGGGGCACCGCGCCCGAACUCCCACCCGUCCACCCCACAAGGGCCUGGACUCAUGGCUACUGUCCUGAACUCGUGGGGCCUCAGCUGCAUCACCAGCCAGCGGGGACGAUGACAGUCUCAGAGUUAUCGUGAGGACACGACACCAGCUCAGGCCCAGCGCCCAGCAGGUGUCCAAGGAACAUGCGCUCAGGACCAGUCAUCCACCAGGAUCCCUGUACCACUCUCCCGCUCGAGGACUUACCAUGGCUCCCAUGUCCCCUCACGUCGUGUGGAGGCUCUUUUUUGCCAUCUCAGCUGAGCCAGACUGAAAGGAAACAGGUGAGUACUGAGCCCAGGAUGAGCCCCUUGGGUUGCCCUGUGUUCAAGAUCCUUCUCACCAGAGACCCGCCUGGGACCGACCUCACGUGGGGCAACGGCCUCAGACUUGCCAGCGAGCGAGCCCAGCCCUGCCCGUUAGCUGCCAUCCAGCGGUGCACCUGCUGCGUGCCCGCUGGGCGGCCACGACCCCGCACGACCAGGCUGAGGCGGCCACGGCCCUGCACUCGAGGAGCUCCAUCAGCCGGGGGAUGUAAGUCCGUGCGGGGACACAGGAGCCUAGGCCAGCCCGGGGGCCCAGGAAGCUUCUGGAGGGCAUGCUGGUGGAGUUGAAUCUUGAAAGACGAGAGGAUGAGAGCCCAAAGAGGGUAGGGAAAGGUGUGCCAGCAGAGGGAACAGCAUGAGCCAGGGCAAGGAGGUGCUGUCGAGACAGAGGCUGGUGCUGGAGGAGGGGCGGAGGGAGGCAGGAGCUGAGGUGGCAACGCCGGGGGCAGCCUGGGCUGGUCGAGGAGCCCCCGUCGGGUUCCAGCAGCGAAGCGGUGUGUUCCGAAGGUCGCGGCAGGCAGGGGAGAGAGGGGGCUGCUCGGCGGGGCCACCAGGACCUGGGCCGGAGGACGGCCUGUCUGUGUGGGACCAGGGUGGCGUCCAGGCCUCCUGCCCCCUGUGCCCAGCAAGCCGGGCCGGGACAGCGCUCCCGAAGGGCGGCCGGGGCCUGGCUCUGAGGCCAGCUCUGCGCCCGCCCAAAGGCAGAUCCCACGCUCAAGUGGAUUUGGGAGAUGCUGUUCACGGCACUGCAGCCUGCGGGUCAGGACGCCUGUUGGCAGGCCCAGGCUCUGCGAAAUCCUGAAUUUUCCUGCUUACCCAGUGUCCCCAGUGCGCCCAGAGAAACGCUCUCCAGGGUGUGCUGAUUCACAUCCCAAAGGAGAGUCUGGCAAGCUCCUGAGGGCCUGGCUGCCUGGCGACAGAGCCCUUCUCUCUGGAAUCUGGGGGCCCAGAGUGAAGACACGCCAUCCGCUGCAAAUGUCGUGGGCCGGGAGCACCCGGUGGGGGCCAGCGAAGCUGCGAGUGCGGGGAGGCGCCUACAGAGCUGGCAUGGGAGCCCCGAGGAGACCACAGCUUCUCUUUGUGAUUGGGGCCCAUGCGGCUUAGCGCCUCACCUUCCCCAUCUAUAAAAUGGGGGCAGUGAUUCCGCAGCCUCUGCCUAUUUUCAGGGAUGGGGGUAUUAACGUGACACAGCAUUACACGCAGGCAUCCAGGGAGUUUGAUGUUCUGGAAGCAGCAGGCCGUUGUGGCUCCUUGCCAGCAAACAGUCCCGGGCCAGCGCCGACCAUGACGAUGUCCGCGCAGGCACCGGGGCACCAGCCUGGGAGCCGGGCCUGGAGCACGGUGGCUCCGGGGCUUCCGCUGGCAGCAGAGUGUUCACGGUUUCAGGGACACAGUGCUGCGGUGGCAGGCCCGGGGGCGCCCACUCUGACUCCCCACGGGACCAGCGUCCACUGCUGGGCUUCCCUGGGUGAGACCGGGUAACCCGCCUUGGUCCCUGGAGGCCAAUGACAAGCCGGCGCGGGUGGAGAGCCCCGCAAACAGGUAGGCAGCAGAUGCUGUAAGGGCGCGAUGUUCUUUAUUACCUGAACCAACACAUCUGUUUUUACUAAAGAAAAUACCGAGGUCCAGGGAGGCCCAGUGACGGACACAGGCCGGCUGCGGCUCCUGCCAGGCUUGGGAUGAACCCACAGUGGCCUAUGCUGCACAGAGAACGUAUCUGCU
rnacentral:lncRNA from 1 species